GCCCACUUGUGCCGCAAUCGGUCAGUGCCUAUGGCUGUUAACCAGAAGGUUGCUGGUUUGAGCCCGCCCUGGGGUU